rnacentral:rRNA from 1 species
GGGUGCGAUCAUACUAGUGUUAAUCCACCAAAUCCCAUCAUAACUUUGUAGUUAAGCAUGCUUGGGCUAGAGUAGUACCGGGAUGGGUGACCUCAUGGGAAGUCCUAGUGUUGCAAAAU